rnacentral:tRNA from 8 species
CGGGACGUAGCGUAGCUUGGUAGCGCGUCUGAAUGGGGUUCAGAAGGUCGUGAGUUCAAAUCUCACCGUCCCGACCA